rnacentral:tRNA from 1 species
AUAUAUAUAUAAAUAUAUUAUAUAAAUUUAAUUUAUUAAAUUUAUAUAAUAUUAAAUAUAA